GGGGACACUUUAUGUUCUUGGUGCCAUCUUUGAAUCUGACACACAUUUCACACUUGUGCACGUCUCAGUUUAGAGGCUGAAAUUUCACUGGAAAUCCUUGGCCAGCAGCCCCGCCCUUGCUCUCAGAACAGCACCUCCCGGAAGCGUGGCUUGGUGCUUCCAGUCCAGUGGUGACGCUCCCUGCGGAAGCAGCUGGCUACCUGUGCCCUCACCUGGGACAGCAUCGUCCAAACCGCAUUCCUGGGGCAUCUUGUUCCUGGUUGUGUGAACGGGUGAUUCUCAAGUCACUGCUGGAAUCAGAUUUUCCUGGGAGCAUGUGUGCUAAGUUGCUUCAGUCACGUCCGAGUCUUUGAGACCCUAUGGGCUGUAGCCCGCCAGGCUCCUCUGUCCACAGGAUUCUCCAGGACUUCUCAGAGCCUUUGAUGUGGCCAUGAGAAUGAAAAGCAGGCCGCUUUGGCACAGAGUGGCCCCUAGGUGUGUCCUGCCCACAGCAGGCGCCUGGCAGAGACCAGUCAUUAUAAACAAAACUUGGCUAAAGGAAUUCCCCGAUGGUCCAGUGGUGAAGAAUUCAGUUGCCAACUCAGGAGGACACCAGCUGGAUCCCUGGCCCGGCGAGAUCCCACAUGCUGCCGGGUUACUAAGCCCACGUGCCACAGCUACUGAGCCUAUGCUCCACAGCCCGUGCUCUGCAGCAAGACAAGCCCACACACCACAAAUGGAGAGUAGCCCCCACAGCAGCGAAGACCCAGCACAGCCAAAAACAAACGGGCUAAAGAGAAGAGCUGAAACAAAGAUAUGUUAAAGCUCAUAGGAAGGGUCAGAUCCUCCGCUUAGAGGAUCAGGGAAGACUGCCUGGAGGAGGUGACAUCGGAACUGAGCCUAAAGGGCACAGAGACGAUUGCAUCUCUCAGCCUUGCAGCGGGGGCAGCAGGUGACUGGUCCUGACGAGCACGAAGUGGGAAGAAAGGAGUGGUGGAAAAUUCUGGAUGAUGCUCCAUCCUCUCUCCCCUGGCUCUGGAGGCUGAGGAGACUGCAUGUACUGGAUGAACAGUUACAUCGCCCUAGUGGGUGGGGAGUGAUGCCUCAUUGCGGUUCUGACUGGCAUUUUCCUGACGACUAAUGACGUGGAACCUCUUCGCAUGCAUCUGUUGGUUGUGCGUGUCUUCUUUGGAGAAAGGACUGAUCUCCUUUAGGCUGGACUGGUUGGAUCUCCUUGCAGUCCAAGGGACUCUCGAGAGUCUUCUCCAACACCACCGUUCAAAAGCAUCAAUUCUUUGGCGCUCCACCGUCACCACCGCCACCUCCGUAAUCACCGUCAUCACCAUCGCCAUCACUGUCAAGGCCCCAGAUAGUCUGCCGAGCUCCCCACCUGGGACCAGGCCUGGAGCACCACGCUUCACAUCUCCCAGUUACUGCAUCACCCCACCUGCCCUGCAAGGACACCGAGGCUGGGAGAGUCACGGGCAUCUACGUUUCCCAGCGCCUCAUGGAGCCUUGACUCAGGCCUUCUGGUCUCUGCAUUUAGUCUUGGUCAAGUUCCCU
ensembl:lncRNA